AAUGGCAGACGAUAUUAAUAUUGAAGCAAUGCUUGAGGCUCCUUACAAGUAGGAUGAGAACAAGUUGAGCAGGGCCAACGGCCAUGAAGAACGUAGCAAAAAAAGGAAAAAAAGCAAGAGCAGAAGUCGUAGUCGUGAACGAAAGAGAAGCAAAAGUAAGGAACGGAAGCAAAGUACAGAUCGAGAAAGGAAAAAGAGCAAAAGCCGUGAAAGGAAGCGAAGUCGAAGCAGAGAGGCGACGGAGCCGCUCAAGAAGUCGAGAUUGAAGAUUUAGAGGCCGCUACAGAAGUCCUUACUGCGGACCAAAAUUUAACAGUGCCAUCUGAGGAAAGACUGGAUUGCCUUAUAGUAUCAAAUUAAGCAUAGGACGUUCCCGAAGCAAAAGUCCACUCAGAAAAGACAAGAGCCCUGUGAGGGAACCUAUUGAUAAUCUAACUCCUGAGGAAAGAGAUGCAAGGACAGUCUUCUGUAUGCAGCUGGCGGCAGGAAUUCGACCAAAGGAUUUGGAAGAGUUUUUCUCUACAGUAGGAAAGGCUCGAGGCGUGAGGAUGAUUUCCGAUAGAAAUUCAAGACAUUCCAAAGGAAUUGCUUACGUGGAGUUCGUGGGUGUUAGUUCAGUGCCUCUAACAAUAGGAUUAACUGGCCAACGAGUUUUAGGAGUGCCAAUCAUAGUACAGGCAUCACAGGCAGAAAAAAACAGAGCUGCAGCCAUGGCAAACAAUGUACAAAAGGGAAGUGCUGGACCUAAGAGGCUUUAGGUGGACUCAUUACACUUUUAACAUAACUGAAGAUACGCUUCGUGGGUUCUUUGAGCCUUUCGGAAGGAUUGAAAGUAUCCAGCUGACGAUAGACAGUGAAACUGGUCGAUCCAAGGGAUAUGGAUUUAUUACAUUUUCUGAUUCAGAAUGUGCCAAAAAGUCUUUGGAACAAUUUAAUGGAUUUGAACUAGCAGGGAGGCCAAUGAAAGUUGGUCAUGUUAUUGAACGUGCUGAUGCUUCGAGUACUAGUUCAUUUUUGGACAGUGAUGAACUGGAAAGGACUAGAAUUGAUUUGGGAACAACUGGUCGUCUUCAGUUAGUGGCAAGACUUGCAGAGGAUACAGGUUUGCAGAUUCCACCAGCAGCACAGCAAGCUCUACAAAUGAGUGGCUCUUUGGCAUUUGGUGCUGUGGCAGAAUUUUCUUUUGUUAUGGAUUUGCAAACAAGACUUUCCCAGCAGACUGAAGCUUCAGCUUUAGCUGCAGCUGCUUCUGUUCAGCCACUUGCAACACAGUGUUUCCAACUCUCUAACAUGUUUAACCCUCAAACAGAAGAAGUUGGAUGGGAUACAGAGAUUAAGGACGAUGUGAUUGAGGAAUGUAAUAAACAUGGAGGAAUUAUUCAUAUUUAUGUUGACAAAAAUUCAGCUCAGGGCAAUGUCUAUGUGAAGUGCUCAUCAAUUGCUGCAGCUAUUGCUGCUGUCAAUGCAUUGCAUGGCAGGUGGUUUGCUGGUAAAAUGAUAACAGCAGCAUAUGUACCUCUUCCAACUUACCACAACCUGUUUCCUGAUUCUAUGACAGCAACACAACUACUGGUUCCAAGUAGACGAUGA
rnacentral:lncRNA from 1 species